GGAGUCGGCUCGGCAGUCGCUGCUUUAUCACCUCUGGUGUUAAGGUGGAGGAAAGUCCGGGCUCCAUAGGGCAGAGCGCCAGGUAACGCCUGGGAAGUGCGAGCUUACGGAAAGUGCAGCAGAGAGUAGACCGCCUACGUCACAUGUAUUGUGGCCGGUAAGGGUGAAAGGGUGCGGUAAGAGCGCACCGCGCGACUGGUAACAGUUCGUGGCAUGGUAAACCCCGCUCGGAGCAAGACCAAAUAGGAAUCCAUUGGUGUGGCCCGCACUGGAUUCGGGUAGGUCGCAUGAGGUGUGCGGUGACGCGCAUCCCAGAUGAAUGAUUGUCCACGACAGAACCCGGCUUACAGGCCGACUCCGAUU
rnacentral:RNase_P_RNA from 1 species